rnacentral:pre_miRNA from 7 species
AUCUUGGGUUGAAAGAACCUAGUGGGGAAACCCCCACUCAAUUCUUGAUUCGGUGCGCACCCAAGAAUCACGAACAGACGA